CCUUUACUAUAGCUUCGCCUUGGCGUUAGCGACCGUAUGUGUAGGAUAGGUGGGAGGCUAUGAAGCCGGGGCGCCAGCUCUGGUGGAGCCAUCCUUGAAAUACCACCCUUACUGUCGUUGACGUCUAACCGAGGGCCGUUAUCCGGUCCCGGGACAUGGCGUGGUGGGUAGUUUGACUGGGGCGGUCGCCUCCUAAAGUGUAACGGAGGCGCGCGAUGGUGGGCUCAGACCGGUCGGAAAUCGGUCGUCGAGUGCAAUGGCAUAAGCCCGCCUGACUGCGAGACUGACAAGUCGAGCAGAGACGAAAGUCGGCCAUAGUGAUCCGGUGGUCCCGCGUGGAAGGCGCAU
rnacentral:rRNA from 1 species